rnacentral:rRNA from 1 species
UGGUCCAGACUUUGAUCAUGGCUCAGGACGAACGCUGGCGGCGUGCCUAACACAUGCAAGUCGAACGGAGCUCCGCCCUUCGGGACGGAACUUAGUGGCGAACGGGUGAGUAACGCGUGAAGAACCUGCCUUCCAGUGGGGGACAACAGUUGGAAACGACUGCUAAUACCGCAUGAUACUUUUGAGGGGCAUCCCUUGAAAGUCAAAGCUUUAAGUGCUGGAAGAUGGCUCCGCGUCUGAUUAGCUAGUUGGUGGGGUAACGGCCCACCAAGGCGACGAUCAGUAGCCGGUCUGAGAGGAUGAACGGCCACAUUGGGACUGAGAUACGGCCCAGACUCCUACGGGAGGCAGCAGUGGGGAAUAUUGGGCAAUGGGGGAAACCCUGACCCAGCAACGCCGCGUGAAGGAAGAAGGCCUUCGGGUUGUAAACUUCUUUUACCAGGGACGAAGGACGUGACGGUACCUGGAGAAAAAGCAACGGCUAACUACGUGCCAGCAGCCGCGGUAAUACGUAGGUUGCAAGCGUUGUCCGGAUUUACUGGGUGUAAAGGGCGUGCAGGCGGAGGCGCAAGUUGGGAGUGAAAUCUAUGGGCUCAACCCAUAAACUGCUCUCAAAACUGUGUCCCUUGAGUAUCGGAGAGGCAAGCGGAAUUCCUAGUGUAGCGGUGAAAUGCGUAGAUAUUAGGAGGAACACCAGUGGCGAAGGCGGCUUGCUGGACGACAACUGACGCUGAGGCGCGAAAGCGUGGGGAGCAAACAGGAUUAGAUACCCUGGUAGUCCACGCUGUAAACGAUGAAUACUAGGUGUGGGAGGACUGACCCCUUCCGUGCCGCAGUUAACACAAUAAGUAUUCCACCUGGGGAGUACGACCGCAAGGUUGCAACUCAAAUGAAUUGACGGA